UGGUUUUAAGGGGAGGAAAGAACAUGAGGUUGGGAGGGUAAGAAAUGGGGGAAGACCUGGGAAAGCUAGGGGAUGGGAAAAAUUCUGGUAAAAAUGUACUGUGUGAAAUUCUCCAAGAAAAAAAAAAUAGAGAGACCUAUUAACUUAUUAAAGGUGUCUGUGAUCAACAAGGCAGAGACUUUUUAAAAAAAGUAAUUUCCUACUUUCCAAGGAGAUUCAUGGGGACAGCAGCCAUGGGAGCAGGUGCUGGGGGCAUCCCAGGCUAUGCACACGGGUGCCUCUUUUCCCUCUUGCAUACAUGUGUAACAGGACCUGGGGAGCCUAGAGGCUGCCAGGACAAGCCCCGUCAAGCUUCAGGAGCCCUUCCCGGACGCUGCUGGCACAGGGGAACCCACCAGUCUCCUCCCUAACACACAAGCAGCUUAUCUCAGGUCUUGUUUUGGCUUAGAAGUCUUUUAAUCUCUCACGAUGGUUGGAAUGGAUCAGCCUCUAUUUUUACUCCUGGAUGGAGAAGACAUGAAUCAGACUGGGCCAACUCUGUUGGACUUGUAGAGGCCUGCCGCGGAGCACACAUUCCUUUUAGCUUUAGGCAUAUUAAGGACAGAGGGGGAGAGAGCAAAUGAAAACACAGACAGGAGAGAGCCUGCUACAGAUGACAGGGAACUGGCGCACAGUAGGCAUUCAGCAAAUGUCUGCGGAAAUGAACACCCAGCAAUCCAACAGUGUCACGUGGCUUUCUCCCUGGCUCCACUGUGCAGCGCAGUUGCUGGGAAUAUGGCAGCAAGCAGGUUGUUUUCUGGAUACCUGUGAUUUUCCCAAAGCAAGUACCUGGGGGAGGGGGUUGGUUACAGACAAGGGAACUUUCUAGGCACCAUGUAGGCUUGGAAACCUUCACUUUCCUGUCCUUACAGGUGGCUUGCCACAUCUACCUGCCAUGUGCUGGCCAAGGGGACGUCUUCAGGCAUGAGGACGCUCUGUGGUAUCCAUGGGCCCCUCCUUUGUUGUCCUGGUACUUAGGGAAGCUCAGCUUCUGCUGAGGGCUGGCCAUGUCUGAGCUAACGAUGAAGACCAAGAAGCCCCGAGACCUGAAGAUGCAGAGCAGAGGCCUAAGAAGGACCGAAGGCUGGAGAAGACCAAUGUCUCUGCUCAAGGAGCCCAAAAGGAAAGGAUUUUGUAUUUUCCUCCCAGAGUCACCUUGGCCAUUGGCGAGUCACAUCUUUGGGUGCCUUGUGAAGAAUUUUCCACAAAGAACUAACCCACCAUGGAUGUGGGCAGCAGCAUCCCAAGGGCUGGGGACAUGGAACUGGACUUCAGAAACCCGGCCAGAAGAGACUAAUGCACCUACUUCCAUGGCCUCCGAUGGCGAGACCUGCUUGCUGGCACCCAUUUGUCUCCUGCCAGCAUCUGACUGAUUCUACUCCAGAUCCAGAAUCCCUCCUAGCAUCUGGGAUACAGAGGUCUGACAGCAGGAAAGAUGGUGGAGAGACUUGCCGCACUAUGCCAGCUUUGUACUACAGGAGUGAACCGUCCUUCGUGGCACUGACUCUCUAUGGCUCUGCCAAAAGAUGGCUAUAAAACCAACCGAUUCUUUGUUUCCCAGAUGCUAGGGUUCUUACCUGUCUCCCCCACAGAAAUUUACUUUCUCAAAUGAAACCUGACACCAGCAAUCUCUUUUCAAACCUUCCCCACCCAAGCUCACCUCACCCACUAAUAUUCUUUGGUUAUAGUGUCUGAGCGAGAAUAGAGGUAUGUACGGAAAAGUGAACCGUGCUCACCAACACAAGAGAACCUGGCGUGAGCGGAGAUAAACCCCCACCCCCCAGGUUGUUUAUGGUCGUGGUGAUCUGUCACAGCAGUGGAAACCCUGGCCAAGAGAAAAAUUAACUCGGAUUCAGGAACACAAACAUUCCAUGGCCUCUUUUAUCAUGGGUUCUGGCUUAUGGAUGUGUAUAUAUAUGGGGGUGAGUUGGAGUACAGUUAAUGAAAUCAGGGAAGAGACUGUGAGAAGGGGGAACGCUGCUGAGGAAGGCAUGGAGGUUAAUAGGGGCUGCGUGCCAUCCAAGUAGAAAAGCAACUACCAGGACGGAAGGGUAAAGGAAGGCCAGGAGUGUGCAAGGAGAGAAAAACUCAGGAUAUUUGAAAAGGUCACAGUAAACUUAACACUUUGCUAAUUUUAGAAGUAAAAAAACCAUACAUGAGUGGUGAUAGUCUUAAAAAAAAAACAGGUUUGAUCUGAGGAAAGAGAAUCAAAGGCUCUAUACAUAGAGAGUUGAAAUCUUUACUGGAAAAGAAACCACAGAUAAGAGUGGCAGCGUGACAGGCUUUUCCUGCCAGGAUAGCUCUCAGGAAGAAGGAAAGACAGACAGCAAUAAACAUUCGUGAUGAAGCUGCCUUGAAAUACGGUUUGAAAAUUCCCCCAAGGAGCUGGUCUUGGAGCAGUCAUCUGACUCAGUGGUUCCACUCCAUGAGCACCGAGGACACGUGUCUACACAGACAUCUGUACACCAGUGUUCCUGGCAGCACUGCCCAUAAUAACCAAAGGAUGAGAAGGCCGGCAUUGGCAGAUGAAGAAUGGAAAGUCAGAACAGGACACAUUGUCUGCCAUCAAAGAAUGAACUGAACCCAUGCUCAGCUUGGAUGGGAACUGGAGUCUGUGUAUUUAGUGAAAAGUACUAACCACCAAA